rnacentral:lncRNA from 1 species
AGAGCCCGGGAGCCGCCGGAGGCAGCUGCGCAUCAGCGGACUCGCGGCCCGGGUCGGAGCCCGGUGAGUGGUGCCAAGAGGUGGCGGCGAGUCGGAACCUUGGGGAGAGCCGCGAGUCAGACGGCGGCGGGUGCCUGGGAGGUGCGAGUCGACCUGUGUUCGGCUGUGGUUUUCCCGCCAUGCCUCUUCUCCUCCACCAGAAGAAGAAAUCGGUACAGACACGCAGAGGGGAGGGCAUGUGAGGACAUGGGAAGGAAAUGCCACUUGCAAGCCAAGGAGAGAGGCCUCAGAAGAAACCAGCCCUCCUGACACCUUGAUCCUAGACUUCCAGCCUCCAGAACUACUUUUCUGUUUUGUUUUUUAGCCUAAAUGCUAUUGAAAAGAGCAGAGAAGAUAGAGUGCAGGCCCCUAGAGACAGGAUGGAACGAAACACGCAGUGUGCAUCUGUGUCCUGCUCAGCAUACGCUCUUGGUCCCCACUGGGCCAUCUCGCUGCUGACUGGCAUCCCGAAGAACAGGCAGAUUGCACAGGGGCAGCUCUUUCCUCCAAAGCUGCAAUGUGGUGCAUGAAGUCCUCAGAUUUGGGAACUCAUACAGGCACUUGAGCUCAAACAUACAGUUCUGAUCUAAGACAUCACAGGGUCAUGGUGGAGCUGUUUCAGCUGCAGGUGGUAUUCCACCAUUUGGUCCUCCCUGAUGUCUCCUGGCACCUUUCCUUCUUCAGUCUCAGCACUCUGAAGAAGCGUGCUUGUGAGCGCCGCGGGACGAUCCAGGAUGUCCAGGAUUGUGGACGAUCCUGUUCUUCCCAUCUGUGAGGACCAUAGGGUGUGCGUAAAAAGCCUGCUGCAAAUCAGAGUGCUUCAACUGCGUAUUAAUGAGAUGGAGGAAAGAGGCUGUGAGUGCAGACAAUGAGUCCCUGAGUAAAUAGACUCCAGAGCCAAAGGUGUUCUCCACACCGAAAGAAUGACUGUACCCAGGGAAGGAGCUCAGACUCACCUGGACAAACCCUGAGGGGACAGCCAUGUUCCAGUGUGGCUAGGAGGGUCUGGAGCUGGGCACGUCCCCCAUGUCUGCUUGAUUCCCCUCUGGCCGAGUUCUACUCAGAUAAGGAAACUGACAAAGCCAGGUGGCCUGUGGCUGAGGAGCGAGACGGUCAGCGAGGUCUCCCUGCUGCACUCUCGUGCACUUCCACAGUGAAACCCUGCUGAGAGACACAGGAAAUGUUGAACAUAGUGUCUUUAAAAUUAAGACUAUGACUGCCCUAAACAUUUACAAAGCACAAACCAUGAGAAAAAAGCCUGUACCAGAAAUCAGAAGAUGGCUUUUGUCCAUGUGCAACCUUGGACAAGUUAAUUACUUAUCGCUGCUCUCUGAGCCCGUUUCCCCACUGGUUACCGAAAAAAUAGAAAAGGAUAUGCCUGCCCUUCCUAAUUCACAGGGCAUCGCAGGGAGGUAGGUAGUUAAUAUGCUGAACCACUUCAAAACGGUGGAGCUGAACUCACAGCAGGAACCCUGUCACACCUUUCCAUGACAAGGAUAUCAGUGGGGUGAGGGAGGUGGGGAGAGGCAUGAGGAUGGGAGACAAAGGAGUGGGGUGGGGGGCGGGGGAAGGAGGAAGCCAGAAGGACAGGCCCAGGCUAGGCUCUGAAGUCAGCAGGUGAGCGAGGUAGAGAACUAGCAGCACCACUGUCCAUGGAUAUUUGCGGUGAUGGAAAUGUACUGUAUCCAUGUUCUCCAAUAUGGCAGCCACUAGCCACAUGUGGCUAUCAAGCGCUAGAAAUGUAGCUAGUGUGAUCGAGGAACUGAUCUUUAAUUUUUCUUUAAUUGUUAUUAAUUUCCAUUUAAAUAGCCACAUGUGGCCAGUGGCUUAUGUAGCAAAGAUCUAGAUCAUUUGUUUGAAGCAGUAAAAAGAGAAAUGUGAAUCCCCUCUUCUUACCUCCUAUAACAUGCUAAUUAACAUCACUGCAAUUAACCACCAUUCACAGCUCUUCAGCUGCUCUGUGGAACCUCAGCCCACUCUGAAAUGAACAGCCGCAGUGGCAGGGGUUACAGAAUGGGCUGGGAGUGGCAAUGUAGAUUUAUCUCUUCACACACUCUAUGCCCUCUAUCAAAAAUGCCUCAGGCUGUGUAAAAUUCCACAAAUAAUAAAGAGAUUUUAAAAA